rnacentral:rRNA from 1 species
AGCAGCCGCGGUAAUUCCAGCUCCAAUAGCGUAUAUUAAAGUUGUUGCAGUUAAAAAGCUCGUAGUUGAAUUUCGGGAUCAGUACGCUGGUCGUGCCUUUGGUAUGUACUGGUGUCACUGAUUCCUCCCUUCUGAAGAACCGUUAUGCCAUUUAUUUAGUGUGGCGGGGAAUCAGGACUGUUACUUUGAAAAAAUUAGAGUGUUUAAAGCAGGCUCGCGCUUGAAUACAUUAGCAUGGAAUAAUGAAAUAGGACGUUUGAUCUUAUUUUGUUGGUUUCUAGGAUCGACGUAAUGAUUAAUAGGGAUAGUUGGGAGCAUUAGUAUUCAAUUGUCGGAGGUGAAAUUUCU